AUUAACGGCCAUACCACCCUGAACACACCCGAUCUCGGAAGCUAAGCAGGGCCGGUUAGUACUUGGAUGGGAGACUGCCUGGGAAAUAUUAAAACUGUAUUAA
rnacentral:rRNA from 1 species